rnacentral:ncRNA from 1 species
AAACUGAAGAGUUUGAUCAUGGCUCAGAUUGAACGCUGGCGGCAGGCUUAACACAUGCAAGUCGAGCGGGUGUUGGUUCUUCGCUCCUAGUGUUAGCGGCGGACGGGUGAGUAAUGCUUAGGAAUCUGCCAUUUAGUGGGGGACAACAUUCCGAAAGGGAUGCUAAUACCGCAUACGCCCUACGGGGGAAAGCAGGGGAUCUUCGGACCUUGCGCUAAAUGAUGAGCCUAAGUCGGAUUAGCUAGUUGGUGGGGUAAAGGCCUACCAAGGCGACGAUCUGUAGCGGGUCUGAGAGGAUGAUCCGCCACACUGGGACUGAGACACGGCCCAGACUCCUACGGGAGGCAGCAGUGGGGAAUAUUGGACAAUGGGCG